rnacentral:rRNA from 1 species
UCCGUAGUGAACCUGCGGAAGGAUCAUUGUCGAUGAUUGUGCAGCAGGACAACCUGCGAACUUGUCACUACCACUAGGGAAGCAGUAGGCAGGUCGUUGGCUCCCUCCUAUUGCCUCUCGUCGGGAGUGUGCUCGGAGAUCCUCUGGGGGUGACGGGUGCCAUUCCUCAGCAAACCAACAAACCCUGACGUGAAUUGCACCAAGGAACAAGUUGCACUCGAAGCCAUUAGGUUGAGGGAAUGUCUACUUGGGCAUCUCAUGUUGCGUCACCCCUAUCCCCGAAGGGUUGCGGGCGAAUGUUCGUCCCCCGUCCACGCCUACACACGGUCGGUCUAAAAAAUUAGUCCCCCGCGGCGGACGACACGUUACAAUGAGUGGUGGUUGACAAACUAUUAUGUUGUGUCAUGUGCGUCCCAACUAUCAUGGGAGGUCUGUUGUGACGCUAUUGCGCCGCUGCCAAGGCACUCCGAUCACGACCCCAAUUCGGGCGAGAUUACCCACUGAGUUUAUGCAUAUCAAUAAGCGGAGGA